AUUGAACGCUGGCGGCAUGCCUAACACAUGCAAGUCGAACGGUAACGACGGGAGCUUGCUCCCGGGCGACGAGUGGCGGACGGGUGAGUAAUACUUAGGAAUCUGCCCAGUAGUGGGGGACAACCAGGAGAAAUCCUGGCUAAUACCGCAUACGCACUAUGGUGGAAAGUGGGGGACCUUCGGGCCUCACGCUAUUGGAUGAGCCUAAGUCGGAUUAGCUAGUUGGUGAGGUAAUGGCUCACCAAGGCGACGAUCCGUAGCUGGUCUGAGAGGACGAUCAGCCACACUGGGACUGAGACACGGCCCAG
rnacentral:rRNA from 1 species